CCAUUGUUCUACCUUCUCUCUAGGUCACUAAAAAUUUGAAUUGCACUCACCACUUGUCGCCACCAUCUCUUUUGAUUUUUUUUUUUUUUGUGUUGUAUUUAUUAGUUAAGAAAUAGCUUCCGAGCGUUCCAAAAAAAAAACAGCUUCCGAAGAAAUCUAUAUUUUACAAGGCCGAGAAAAGAAAACUCGGAAUAGGGCAUAACAUUAUAGAGGGAUAAAACUAAAAAAAAAGAAAACCCUAUCGAAGAAAAUCGCACAAAAUCAGAGACGACCCUUCAGAUCAAAUGCCGCUGAACAAUCUUAGAUCCAUGACUGCGCUGUGCCGCAAUUUCUCAACGGGAUCUCGCCAUAAUUCGUAUUCAUCCCGUAAUAUUUAUGUGAAGAAGGGAGCGAGGUUGUUAACUAGAGUUUCAGGACUGGCUGUAGGAGUUGGCCUAGGUUAUAUGUUUGUUGGAGAUAUGACAACCGCUCUUGAGAAAGACCGGCAAAAGGUAUGAAACAAAAUCAAGA